CUACGUAAGGAUUAUAUUGCCCCCAAUUUCUAUGAAAUACAAGGCGCUCAUUGAAUGAUAAAAAACUAACUUCACUUCUACGACUCUAUAUAUUAAAGGAAGAUUUUGAAGUUUCUAGAUCAAACAUAGUAAGUGUACGAUGAGCUAAGCCAAUAAGAUAGGAUGAACCAAAAGAGUUUUGCAUCAUGAACUUUGUAUCGCGCACAUUAUUUAGAGGGCGCUAGAAAGUCACCUAGACGGAAGUGAAGAAAUAGAAUAUGUAAAUACAAAGAAAUGAAGGAUGAUCGGAUUCUAUUUGUACUGUAU